GCACCUGGCGGGUUCAGGAGGCCCUCCCCGCUCAGCCCUGUCAGCGAUGGGCGUGCAGGGCCAGGCGCGGAAGAACCGCCCGGCCGCUGCAGCGCCCUGGAGCCCGCCGUACUGCGGUCCCUCCCCGGCCGCUCGGCGCAGCCGGCCCCACGGAAGCCUUCUCUCUGCCGCAGGAACCAGCGCCGGCCGCGCGGGCGCCACGCAGGGUCAGGUCCUGGCGGCGCGGCUCCCGCAGCCCACCAGCCCGGAGCCCUCCAGCAGCCGCGCCUCCGCGGGCCCCACCGCGCUCCAGCCCGGAGGCACGGCAGCACCGAGCCCCCCGGCCCACCUCGAGACCCCCGGGCACGGCCGGCUCCGCGGCCGAGGGCCCUGGACCCCGCCGGUCACCGCCCAGGACACGUCCUUCGGCCCCGUGCCCCCGGCCUCCCCGCCGCCCCCCGCGCUCCCGGGGAGCCCCUCUGUCCCCCGGGAAGGGACCGAGACCCCUCUGCCCUCCGCCUCGAGCCCCGCUCCAGACCCCGCGUCCCCGGAGGACCCCCUGACCCAGGGCGGGCCCCGCACGCCGCGGGAGGACGCGGCGGGCCCCUCGCUCGGCUCCCCCCGCGGGGUCUCGGCUCCCCCGGGGGUGGGGGCGUCCCCGGGGUUGGCCACGUCUAGCAGGUCGCGCGGCACGGAGCCUCCGGGGGGGGGACCGAAGAAAGCACCUCGGAGCCUUCGGGCUCAGGCAGCUCGGCUGGGCCCGAGAGCACAACCCCGCGCCGGGAGUGGGCAGCCCCGAGCCAGGCCGCACGCCCGGAGACCGCUGGCAGCCCGCCAGGGCCUGAGACAGUGAAGAAAAAUACCAGACGUCGAGAGGUAUCUUUCAGUGCCUGGCACCAAUGAAUGCUGUGACCAGUGAAAGGAGUGGCACCAAUAUAAGAGAUACAGCUACUGCCACUCAGGCCCAACAUAUGAGCUCAUCUAAUCACCCAGAUUCCAAAGAAAAAACUCCAGCACCAAAACCAGG